rnacentral:rRNA from 1 species
UACGGAGGGGACUAGCGUUGUUCGGAAUUACUGGGCGUAAAGCGCACGUAGGCGGAUUUGUAAGUCAGGGGUGAAAUCCCGAGGCUCAACCUCGGAACUGCCUUUGAUACUGCAAAUCUCGAGUCCGGAAGAGGUGAGUGGAAUUCCUAGUGUAGAGGUGGAAUUCGUAGAUAUUAGGAAGAACACCAGUGGCGAAGGCGGCUCACUGGUCCGGUACUGACGCUGAGGUGCGAAAGCGUGGGGAGCGAACGAGG